AGAGAUACUUCAAACGAGUUUACCUAGUUCCAUAUGGAUGGGUUUCUAAACUGAGAUGACAUGGCCUCUAAUAGAAACUUGACGAGGUUUCCUCUCUCCACUUCUUUUUCCUUCUUGAGCUCAAGAUGUCGGACCUUCACUGAAUCCUUUUGGGAUACACCAGUGUCAGUGAUGAUGACAAGGCAUUUGAUGUCAUGCUCAUUAGCAUAUUCAUACUGUUCUGUAAGGCUUGGAUCACAUAGAGGAACAAAUUCAGCCCUGAUAUUUUCUUCCCAAAGCUCUGCCAAAAGUUCCAUCCGCUCUAUUAACAG
rnacentral:misc_RNA from 1 species